rnacentral:rRNA from 1 species
CCCUUAGAUGUUCUGGGCCGCACGCGCGCUACACUGACGAAUGCAACGAGCUUAUAAUAACCUUGGCCGAAAGGUCUGGGUAAUCUCCAAAUUUCGUCGUGAUGGGGAUAGAUUAUUGCAAUUAUUAAUCUUCAACGAGGAAUGCCUAGUAAGCGCAAGUCAUCAGCUUGCGUUGAUUACGUCCCUGCCCUUUGUACACACCGCCCGUCGUUCCUACCGAUUGAAUGGUCCGGUGAAGCGUUCGGACCGUGGCCUUUGGACGGUUCGCCGUCUGUUGGCUGCGGGAAGUUCGUUAAACCUUAUCAUUUAGAGGAAGGAGAAGUCGUAACA